UACGUAGGGGGCAAGCGUUGUCCGGAAUCAUUGGGCGUAAAGAGCGCGUAGGCGGCCAGGUAGGUCGGUUGUGAAAACUGGAGGCUCAACCUUCAGAGGUCGACCGAAACCAUCUGGCUAGAGUCCGGGAGAGGAGAGUGGAAUUCCUGGUGUAGCGGUGAAAUGCGCAGAUAUCAGGAAGAACACCCGUGGCGAAGGCGGCUCCCUGGAACGGUACUGACGCUGAGACGCGAAAGCGUGGGGAGCAAACAGG
rnacentral:rRNA from 1 species